UAUUUUAGAUAAGAAAUAAUUGAGCCGCUAACUCAAUAUAAACAACUAUGUUAUUAUCACAAGUCUAUAGUGAAAUAU
rnacentral:tRNA from 1 species